UACGUAGGGGGCUAGCGUUGUCCGGAAUCAUUGGGCGUAAAGCGCGUGUAGGCGGUCCGGUAAGUCCGCUGUGAAAGUCGGGGGCUCAACCCUCGGAUGCCGGCGGAUACUGUCGGGCUUGAGUACGGAAGAGGCGAGUGGAAUUCCUGGUGUAGCGGUGAAAUGCGCAGAUAUCAGGAGGAACACCAAUUGCGAAGGCAGCUCGCUGGGACGUUACUGACGCUGAGACGCGAAAGCGUGGGGAGCAAACAGG
rnacentral:rRNA from 1 species